rnacentral:rRNA from 1 species
GAUGAACGCUGGCGGCGUGCCUAAUACAUGCAAGUCGAGCGAACAGACGAGGAGCUUGCUCCUCUGACGUUAGCGGCGGACGGGUGAGUAACACGUGGAUAACCUACCUAUAAGACUGGGAUAACUUCGGGAAACCGGAUCUAAUACCGUAUAAUAUAUUGAACCGCAUGGUUCAAUAGUGAAAGACGGUUUUGCUUUCACUUAUAGAUGGAUCCGCGCCGCAUUAGCUAGUUGGUAAGGUAACGGCUUACCAAGGCAACGAUGCGUAGCCGACCUGAGAGGGUGAUCGGCCACACUGGAACUGAGACAGGGUCCAGACUGCUACGGGAGGCAGCAGUAGGGAAUCUUACGCAAUGGGCGAAAGCCUGACAGAGCAAAGCCGCGUGAGUGAUGAAGGUCUUAGGAUCGUAAAACUCUGUUAUUAGGGAAGAACAAAUGUGUAAGUAACUAUGAACGUAUUGACGGUACCUAAUAAGAAAGCCACGGCUAACUACGUG